rnacentral:rRNA from 1 species
UACGUAGGGGGCAAGCGUUGUCCGGAUUUAUUGGGCGUAAAGAGCGUGUAGGCGGCCGUACAGGUCAGCUGUGAAAACUCGAGGCUCAACCUCGAGACGUCGGUUGAAACCGUACGGCUAGAGUCCGGAAGAGGAGAGUGGAAUUCCCGGUGUAGCGGUGAAAUGCGUAGAUAUCGUAAGGAAGACCAGUGGCGAAGGCGGGUCUCUGGACAGUUCCUGACGCUGAGGCACGAAGGUCAGGGGAGCAAACGGG